rnacentral:rRNA from 1 species
CUGCUAUCGGGAUAGGACUAAGACAUGCUAGUCAAGCGCUUCUCAGCUAAAGAGGAGUGCGGCACACAGCUCAGUAGCACGUGGCUAACCUGCCCUUAGGAUAGGGACAACCCCGGGAAACUGGGGCUAAUCCCCAAUAGGUGAAGUGCUCUGGAAUGAGCCUUCGCCAGAAAGGACGCUUGCGCUAUGCUCGCAGGCUUUGCCUGAGGAUGGGGCCGCGACCGAUCAGGUUGUUGGUGAGGUAAUGGCUCACCAAGCCUUUAACCGGUGCGGGCCGUGAGAGCGGGAGCCCGGAGAUGGGCACUGAGACAAAGGCCCAGGCCCUACGGGGCGCAGCAGUCGCGCAAACUUUGCAAUACACGAAAGUGUGACAGGGCUAUCCCGAGUGCCGUCCGCUGAGGAUGGCUUUUACCUAGUCUAGAACGCUGGGGGAAUAAGGAGAGGGCAAGUCUGGUGUCAGCCGCCGCGGUAAUACCAGCUCUCCGAGUGGUGUGGAUGUUUAUUGGGCCUAAAGCAUCCGUAGCUGGCCAAGUUAGUCCCCUGUUAAACCCACCGAAUUAAUCGUUGGUUUGCGGGGGAUACUGCUCGGCUAGGGGACGAGAGAGGCAGACGGUAUUUUCGGGGUAGGGGUGAAAUCCUAUAAUCCCGGGAAGACCACCAGUGGCGAAGGCUGUCUGCUAGAACGCGCCCGACGGUGAGGGAUGAAAGCUGGGGGAGCGAACCGGAUUAGAUACCCGGGUAGUCCCAGCUGUAAACGAUGCAGGCUAGGUGUUUGGACGGCCACGUGCCGUUCUAGUGCCGCAGGGAAGCUGUUAAGCCUGCCGCCUGGGGAGUACGAUCGCAAGAUU